CGGAGCGAUAAUUAUAAACGACCGCCAUUUAAAAACCCUUCGAAAACUUAUUUCGAAAAAAGCAUGAAGAUUUUAACCUAAGGAAGACAUCAAUGAUUAUUUCUUUUGAUAAAUUUUAAAUAAUAAAAUAACAUGCUAUUAUAGUUCACAAAAUAUUUCGAUGAUUUGAUGCAUAGCAUGUUUGCUAAAAUCCUUGUGAUUUGAAAUUUAUUUUGCAGAAAUAUUACAAAAGUGUUGUUCAAUAACACAAAAGAUUGUUUUAUUGGUUGUGCACUUAUCGUUUUUAUCGAUGAACCAAGAUUCAUUUAUGUCUUUUACAAAAAGGGCAUACGAAAAGAGACGCAGUAGACGUGUCCAAAAAGAAUAUUAAAAAAUACUAGAAUUUUCAUCAGUACAUAUAGAAAAAAAAUAGAAUGUUGGAACUUCUAAAAGAAAUGAUUUCUUAUCUUGCGAAAAUCUAAAAGAAUAUUUUGACCAUCAUGAAUCAUUGAUUUUGUACAAUAAAUACUCUUAUAACCAAAAGCCUAAUGAGUAUGAGCAUAACCCAACUUUAAAGUAAAGUUUUUCUGCAUGUUUUUCUAACCAAGUAAUUAUGCACUAAACAAGUGGAUUGAAAAAUAAGAAUAGCAACAAGUUUAUUGUAAUAACAGAAUAGCAACAAAUUUAUUGUCCCAAAAAAAAAUUAUAAUCAUGCACUGAAAAACAACCUUUCGUCAACAAAAGAAUGGCACAAAUUUCCAUUGAUAAAGUAUAAGAUAACAGAUAGUCAGUAUCUAACUUGUUUUGUGUUUUUUUUAAAGAGAUGCAAAAUGUUAUUCUCAACGAGCUUGCAGAAAUAAAAGUUCUUUUAAAAGAAGUCAUAGAAAUUAAGUUUCAGGCUACUGGGGUGAAGUUGCUAGAAUCAGUGGACGAAGUGGUUACACUGGAUAAUAAACUAAAAGAUAAAACCGAGUAUACUAAUUUGCUUGAUAGUUUGAAAAAGAUUGGUGGUGGAAAGCCAAGAGAACAUGUUUUUUUUUAUCAUGAAAAGGUUAUUUUCGAAUCAGUUACAGCCCAAAUUUAAUCGAAAAGGAAAUGGGGAAAAGAUAAGCAUAGAAAAUCUAGUAAAUAUAUAGAGUGUUAUACGAGAUAUCGGCGACGUGGAAGAAAAUGUUGACGGCAAUGCAGAAAUAUAGUUUCUUAUAUAUAUUUUUGUGAAAUAAAAAUUAAGUAAUAGAUGCAAAAUGUUAUUCUCAAGGAGCUUGCAGAAAUAAAAGUUCUUUUAAAAGAAGUUAUAGAAAUUAAGUUUCAGGCUACUAGGGUGAAGUUGCUAGAAUCAGUGGACGAAGUGGUUACACUGGAUAAUAAACUAAAAGAUAAAAUCGACUUGAUAGUUUGAAAAAGAUUGGUGGUGGAAAGCCAAGAGAACAUGUUUUUUUGAUCAUGAAAAGUUUAUUGUUAAAAUAUUUAUCAGGUUAUUUUCGAAUCAGUUACAGUCCAAACUAAAUCGAAAAGGAAAUAGGGAAAAGAUAAGCUUAGAAAAUCUAGUAAAUAUAUGGAGUGUUUUACGAGAUAUCGGCGACGUGGAAGAAAAUGUUGACGGCAAUGCAGAAAUAUAGUUUCUUAUGUAUAUUUUUGUGAAAUAAAAAUUAAGUAAUGUUAGUUAAAA